UACGGAGGGGGCUAGCGUUGUUCGGAAUUACUGGGCGUAAAGCGCGCGUAGGCGGACCUGCAAGUCGGGGGUGAAAGCCCGAGGCUCAACCUCGGAACUGCCUUCGAUACUGCGGGUCUCGAGUCCGGGAGAGGUGAGUGGAAUUCCUAGUGUAGAGGUGAAAUUCGUAGAUAUUGGGAGGAACACCAGUGGCGAAGGCGGCUCACUGGACCGGAACUGACGCUGAGGCGCGAAAGCGUGGGGAGCAAACGGG
rnacentral:rRNA from 1 species